rnacentral:rRNA from 1 species
AACGAACGCUGGCGGCAUGCCUAACACAUGCAAGUCGAACGAUCCCUUCGGGGAUAGUGGCGCACGGGUGCGUAACGCGUGGGAACCUGCCCUUAGGUUCGGAAUAACUCAGAGAAAUUUGAGCUAAUACCGGAUAAUGUCUUCGGACCAAAGAUUUAUCGCCUUUGGAUGGGCCCGCGUUGGAUUAGCUAGUUGGUGGGGUAAAGGCCUACCAAGGCGACGAUCCAUAGCUGGUCUGAGAGGAUGAUCAGCCACUCUGGGACUGAGACACGGCCCAGACUCCUACGGGAGGCAGCAGUGGGGAAUAUUGGACAAUGGGCGAAAGCCUGAUCCAGCAAUGCCGCGUGAGUGAUGAAGGCCUUAGGGUUGUAAAGCUCUUUUACCCGGGAUGAUAAUGACAGUACCGGGAGAAUAAGCCCCGGCUAACUCCGUG